rnacentral:lncRNA from 1 species
GAAAAUAUAAGCGUAAGAUUAUAAAUUAAAUAUAAAAGUAUACCUGACUAUGUAGUACACUCCCGGUAUGAUUAAGUAGUGCAAUCAUAGUACGAUAAAUAGCAUCAUUAUCUAAUUAAAGAGUUGUGAAGUGCUUGAAAUUUAUUCCAUACUUAGGAGUUGUAAUUUAAUUAAAGUUGUGAGAUAGGUGUUUGGAUGAGCAUAAAACUCUAGUGGUAGAGUCUUAUUAGAUUAUGGGACACGAUAGAACUAUAGUGAAAAGGAUAGAG